rnacentral:rRNA from 1 species
AAUGAACGCUGGCGGCAGGCCUAACACAUGCAAGUCGAACGGAUCCUUCGGGAUUAGUGGCGGACGGGUGAGUAACGCGUGGGAACAUACCCAAAGGUACGGAAUAGCCUCGGGAGACUGGGAGUAAUACCGUAUGUGCUCGAAAGAGGAAAGAUUUAUCGCCUUUGGAUUGGCCCGCGUUGGAUUAGGUAGUUGGUGGGGUAAUGGCCUACCAAGCCGACGAUCCAUAGCUGGUUUGAGAGGAUGAUCAGCCACACUGGGACUGAGACACGGCCCAGACUCCUACGGGAGGCAGCAGUGGGGAAUCUUAGACAAUGGGGGAAACCCUGAUCUAGCCAUGCCGCGUGAUCGAUGAAGGCCUUAGGGUUGUAAAGAUCUUUCAGGUGGGAAGAUAAUGACUGUACCACCAGAAGAAGCCCCGGCUAACUCCGUGCCAGCAGCCGCAGUAA